rnacentral:rRNA from 1 species
ACGCUCGACACCUACGGAGGCAGCAGUAGGGAAUCUUCCACAAUGGACGCAAGUCUGAUGGAGCAACGCCGCGUGAGUGAAGAAGGUCUUCGGAUCGUAAAACUCUGUUGUUAGAGAAGAACACGAGUGAGAGUAACUGUUCAUUCGAUGACGGUAUCUAACCAGCAAGUCACGGCUAACUACGUGCCCGCAGCGCGGUAAUCUGAGCGGGCUGGCAAGGC